rnacentral:rRNA from 1 species
CAGUCGCCACGGUAAUACGUAGGUGGCAAGCGCUGUCCGGAAUUAUUGGGCGUAAAGCGCGCGCAGGCGGUUUCUUAAGUCUGAUGUGAAAGCCCCCGGCUUAACCGGGGAGGGUCAUUGGAAACUGGGAGACUUAGAGUGCAGAAGAGGAGAGUGGAAUUCCAUGUGUAGCGGUGAAAUGCGUAGAUAUAUGGAGGAACACCAGUGGCGAAGGCGACUCUCUGGUCUGUAACUGACGCUGAGGCGCGAAAGCGUGGGGAGCAAACAGGAUUAGAUACCCCUGUAGUCCCUGUCUCUUAUA